rnacentral:rRNA from 1 species
AUUGAACGCUAGCGGGAUGCUUUACACAUGCAAGUCGAGCGAGUGGCGGACGGGUGAGUAAUAUAUCGGAACGUGCGUAGUAGAGGGGGAUCACUACUCGAAAGUGGGGCUAAUAACGCAUAGUAGUGGAACGGCCGAUAUCGGAGUGUGUAGGUGGUGGGGUAAAGGACCACCAAGGCAACGAACCGUAGUUGGUUUGAGAGGAGGACCAGCCAAACUGGGACUGAGAAACGGCCCAUACUCCUACGGGAGGCAGCAGUGGGGAAUUUUGGACAAUGGGGGAAACCCGGAUCCAGCCAUCCCGCGGGUAUGAGAAGGCCUUCGGGUUGUAAAGUACUUUUGGCAGAGAAGCGGUACCUGCAGAAUAAGCACCGGCUAACUCCGUGCCAGCAGCCGCGGUAAUAC